GAUGAGGGCUUUUAUGNGAAUCAAAUAUCAGNGUACGAGGAAGAGUUGAAAACAAUUGGGGUGAUGUUCAGCUGUGAGGAAGCGNGUGGAUUCAUUGGAAGAGAGCUAAUGUCGCGNGCAGCUUCUUUCACUUUAANCAGAAAUCAUAUNCUUUUNAUGCUUGAAUUCAUCCAAUAUCUGAGGCAAAAUUAUCUUCCCUUAGANNAGUUUGUCAACUGCAUCAGAGAGGGAAGUUGGCUACNNACAUCUCAUGGUCUAAGGNGUCCUAUAGGAUCNGUAUUGUAUGAUUCANACUGGCUNGUUGCNUCUCAAGUUAGUUCNAUCCCUUUCAUUNAUAAGGAUUNUUUUGGUANGGANAUNUAUAAGUUCAAAGAGGAGUUGAAGUUGNUGGGUGUGGUNGUUGGNUUUGAUGAAAACUAUCAAGUGGUCAUUGACCAUUUAAAAUCAUCCUCAGAUUUGGCNAAUUUGACANCUGAGGCNNUUGUUUUGUUAAUGGAAUGUAUANAAUUNNNGCGUGGCUCUAGUAAACNCAUAAAUUCACUCAAGGGAGCAANGUGCUUGAAGACANUCAUGGGUUUCAAAACUCCUUCUGAAUGUUUCUUGCGUGACCCUCUNUGGGGCUGCAUUUUGGAGGUAUUCGAUGGUCUUCCUNUAAUAGAUCAUCAAUUCUAUGGAGAGNAAAUUUUCUCUUACAAGGANGAACUAAAGCACAUAGGGGUGGUUAUUCACUUNGAUGAGGCNAUCAAAAAGUUUGCUNAUCUCUUCAAACAGAAGGCAUCAAAAGCUUCAUUUAACCAACAUAANGUUAAGUCAUUUCUUUCAUGUUGUAGGGUGCUUGAGGGAACUGAAUACAAAUUUCCUCNUGAAUUUUNUAANAUCAUUCGUNCUGAGAAAUGGUUGCAGACCAGGGAUGGUGGUUAUAGGUCUCCAANAGCAUGCAUUUUAUAUGGUCCAGAGUGGAAAGCUAUCUCUUCNAUAGCUUCUUGUCUCCCUUUCAUUGAUGACAGUGANAAAUGCUAUGGUGAGGGAAUACAUGAAUACAAGAAAGAGCUGAAGAGCANUGGUGUUGUUACCGAAGUAAAAGACGGGGUGAAGUUUGUGUUNAAAUGUUUGAAUUUUCCUUCAGAUCNCUCCACNAUUACUNCNGAAAGUGUUNUUUCCUUGCUGGAAUGCAUCCGCGUUAAAAUGNAUGUGGGUGUUUNCGAAAUUGAAGAUGANCUAAAAAACAGAUUGUCUGGAAAUUGGUUGAAAACACAUGCUGGUUAUAGGUCUCCAGAUAACUGUUUGUUGUUUGACUCCAAGUGGAAUACGUACCUCAAGCCAACAGAUGGGCCUUUCAUUGAUGAAAAUUUUCAUGGACCUGAAAUUGCAUCAUACAAGAAAGAACUCAAUGCAAUUGGAGUAACCAUUGACGUUGAGAAAGGGUGCCCCUUGAUUUCUAAUCACCUUAACAAUCUCUCUGAUUAUGACACCAUUGUGAAAACAUAUGGGUACAUCCUUUUUCUCUCAAGAAGAUUAUUCCUCUUUUUCUACAUUCUUUUCAAAAUUUUAAGCCUAUGAUGGUAUCUAUGAUUCAUUUUUUUCUAAUUAUUACAACCUUGUGCAUGUGUAUAGGUAUUUGAGCGAAUUCAAGUGGAAAUUUGAAGAUAAAGCUGCCAGAAAAAUUUGGAUUCCAGAAAGUGCUAAGUGGGUCAGUUCUGAACAAUGCGUCAUGCAUGACAAGGAUAAUCUUUUUGGUUCAAAAUUUUAUGUAUUGGAUAAAGUGUAUGAAAAGAAAAUUCUUCCAUUUUUCUCCUUUGCCUUGGAAGUCCGUAGCNUGCCCUCCCUUGAUGAUUACAUCAAUAUUUGGAACGAUUGGGAGAGUUCAGUGGAAGAGUUGUCACCUGACCAAUGUUUUAAGUUCUGGUGGUUUAUGUUCAAUCAUUUGUCCACAAUAUCUGAGAAGAAACUAGCUAAUUGCUUGGUGAAACUGCCUGCAACAUCUGGCAACAAUNAAAUAUUUUUGUUAAACAAGAAUGAUGUUUUCAUUGCUGAUAACCUUCAUAUGAAGAAGCUUUUUGAGCAGGAGAAAGUCUUUGUCUGGUAUCCUCAGAACUUGGCACCAUUGACCAGGUGUGAGUGGUUUAACAUGUACAGAAAAAUCGGUGCUCGAAAUAUCUCUGAAUCUAUUAGCAUGGAAGAGUCAUCCUUGAUCGACGGUGUUGAACUCAAAAAAGUUGAUCCUGGUCAUAUUUGUAAUGUGAAGGUGUUGGCUAAGCUUAUUCUUGGUUUCCUUUCUUCUUCUAGUCUUAAAAUGGAACCAAGCAAGAGACAUGAAGCUGUUCAAGAUCUGCUGAAAGUGAGUUUCUUUGAGACAAACGGUGCAGUCACUGCAAGUUAUACUCUGUCUUUAUCAUCAGGGGACAAUAUUAUCAAAAAGGCAAACAGAAUGGUACGGUGGCAAAGACAAAGCUCCAAGUUUUUCACCCAAAUGAACUGGCAAAGUGAAGAUGCAAGUCUGCUAAAAUAUGCUACAUAUUUUUCAGAAGCCAUAUCAGAGGGUGUUUUGCAAGAGCAUCAUGACCAUGUUCCUGAGCUUGCUAAGCUCAUCAGAUUGGCUUUUCUUCUGAAAUUCAACAGUGGGGAAAUUGAAUUUCUGAUGGAGUCCAACAACUUGCACUGUGAGGAUGAGGCCUUCCUCAGUUCUGCCUUCCCAUCAAACUAAGCUUUUCUAGUUUUAAAUGUUUUAUAUGCACUUUCAUAAGUUAUGUUUGACUAUGUUUUAUUUCCUUGUCUAAGUAGCGUGUGAUUACUUAAAUGAUCAGUUAAGUUUGGUAUUGGCUGUUAAAAUCUGUGUCCAUAUUCUCAUGCUAUGUUUCUACUUAAAUCUGAAAUUAUCAGUGCUGAAUUCAUAACAAACUAUGAAAACUUGUUUAUUUGUAGUAAACUGGGGUAGUCAAAGGAGAAAUGAAGAAAAUGAUAUUAUGGAACAUAGCCAUGCUGGUUGAGCAAUUGUUUCCUAAACGUGAUAAAUAAAAUUGAUCUUACUAUAGAAAACACUCUUGUUAGAAAUGAAACUCACUUGUUGUAGUGAACAUAAGUAGUUGAAGCUUAUGAAUUUUAUGAUUAUUUCUGAAAAUUUUCAAGAUAGCCAUUCCAAGUCAAAUGGCAUUUAGUUCCUAUUCGGUAUACAUCUAAAUAAGUUUUCAUUCAUACAUGAUAAAAUAUACCAAUAUUUAACACUUAUCAUUUUACGAAGACUGGUUAUACUAUAACCAUUAUCAACUUGGUAAUUCGUCU
rnacentral:lncRNA from 1 species